rnacentral:rRNA from 1 species
GUAGGUGGCAAGCGUUGUCCGGAAUUAUUGGGCGUAAAGCGCGCGCAGGCGGUUCUUUAAGUCUGAUGUGAAAGCCCACGGCUCAACCGUGGAGGGUCAUUGGAAACUGGAGAACUUGAGUACAGAAGAGGAAAGCGGAAUUCCACGUGUAGCGGUGAAAUGCGUAGAGAUGUGGAGGAACACCAGUGGCGAAGGCGGCUUUCUGGUCUGUAACUGACGCUGAGGCGCGAAAGCGUGGGGAGCAAACAGGGAUUAGAUACCCUGGUAGUCCACGCCGUAAACGAUGAGUGCUAAGUGUUAGGGGGUUUCCGCCCCCUUAGUGCUGCAGCUAACGCAUUAAGCACUCCGCCUGGGGAUACGGCCGCAGGCUG